rnacentral:rRNA from 1 species
CCAAUAGCGUAUAUUAAAGUUGUUGCAGUUAAAAAGCUCGUAGUUGAAUUUCGGGCUCAAUAUAUCGGUCGUGCCAUCGGUACGUACUGGUAUCAUUGGUUUCUCCUUUCUGACGAACCAUGAUGUCAUUAAUUUGGUGUCAUGGGAAGUUAGGACUGUUACUUUGAAAAAAUUAGAGUGUUUAAAGCAGGCUUUAGCUUGAAUACAUUAGCAUGGAAUAAUGAAAUAGGACGUUCGAACCUAUUUUGUUGGUUUCUAGGAUCAACGUAAUGAUUAAUAGGGAUAGUUGGGGGCAUUAGUAUUCAAUUGUCAGAGGUGAAAUUAUUGGAUUUAUUGAAGACUAACUACUGCGAAAGCAGUUGCCAAGGAUGUUUUCAUUAAUCAAGAACGAAAGUUAGGGGAUCGAAGACGAUCAGAUACCGUCGUAGUCUUAACCAUAAACUAUGCCGACUAGGGAUCGGAUGAUGUUAAUUUUUUAAUGACUCAUUCGGCGCCUUACG